rnacentral:lncRNA from 1 species
CAGAGACUACGGGACCUAUCAGGAAGGAGUGGGGAAGAGGUUCUGGGGAAAUCAGAGGAUGUAGUGGCUGUAAAUCUGCUGUGCUUGUUUAGAAGGGAGUGUGGCUGGACAGAGCUGAAUGUGGUAUAGAACACCAAAAGUGGAUACUAUGUUGGAUUACAGUGCAUGACUUGAGCCUGAAUAUGCUCGGGAAAUUUAUGAAGGUUAUUGCUUGGUUAAUGGUUCCUUGGAGUCUCAGAAAAACCCAGUGAAUCCAGUCUCAAGUGAACCCAGUGAUGGACCUGAUGGGACAGCAAUGGUGUCACUGGGGGAUUGCAAGAGGAUCAGCAACUUUCUAGGGAGACUAUAACAGAUGGGAAAGACCUAGACCAUCUUCUUAUUUCACUGGGCUAUAUUAAGCAGAGACGAGGGGAGUGAAAAAAGAAUACAACCAUAAAAAAGGAUGAGUUCAUGUCUUUCGCAGGGACAUGGAUGAAGCUGGAAACCAUCAUUCUCAGCAAACUAGCACAAGAACAGAAAACCAAACACCGCAUGUUCUCAAUCAUAAGUGGGAGCUGAACAAUAAGAACACAUGGACACAGGGAGGGGAACAUCACACAUCGGGGUCUGUCAGGGGGUGGGGGGCUAGGGGAGGGAUAGCAUUAGGAGAAAUAGCUAAUGUGGAUGAUGGUUUGAUGGGAGCAGCAAACCGCCAUGGCAUGCGUAUACCUAUGUAACAAAACUGCAUGUUUGCACAUGUAUCCCAGAACUUAAAGUAUUAAAAAAAAAAAAAACAAAGAAUGGGGAAGGGGAUCAUCAUUUCUACAAAGCUGG